ACCCCCUCAGGAUCCCACCUGGAGAGUUUUCAUUAUUCUACCAGUCUCAGCAAUGGGAGGGGAAAGUCAAGCAGAGGCAUACCCAUUCCAUUCCUAGCUUGGAUAGUGGCUAGCAAGUGGAAGGCAAUCUGCUACAAGU